AGGUCAUGUUGAGGACAAUUCCUUAACAAACCUUUGUAGCAUUCCCAUGCCUCGUAGAGUGACUCACCCGGAUUUUGGUCAAAAUUAGCUAUCGCCUUCUUGAGUUU